AGCGAACGCUGGCGGCAGGCCUAACACAUGCAAGUCGAACGAAGUCUUCGGACUUAGUGGCGGACGGGUGAGUAACACGUGGGAACGUGCCUUUAGGUUCGGAAUAACUCAGGGAAACUUGUGCUAAUACCGAAUGUGCCCCUCGGGGGAAAGAUUUAUCGCCUUUAGAGCGGCCCGCGUCUGAUUAGCUAGUUGGUGAGGUAAAGGCUCACCAAGGCGACGAUCAGUAGCUGGUACGAGAGGAUGAUCAGCGACAUUGGGACUGAGACACGGCGCCAACUCCUACGGGAGGCAGCAGUGGGGAAUCUUGCGCAAUUGGCGAAAGCCUGACGCAGCCAUGCCGCGUGAAUGAUGAAGGUCUUAGGAUUGUAAAAUUCUUUCACCGGGGACGAUAAUGACGGUACCCGGAGAAGAAGCCCCGGCUAACUUCGUGCCAGCCGCCGCAGUAAAAC
rnacentral:rRNA from 1 species